AGGAAGGAGAAGUCGUAACAAGGUUUCCGUAGGUGAACCUGCGGAAGGAUCAUUGUCGAGACCGAAAAAUAUGCAGAGCAAUUCGAACAACCCGUGAAAUGAGAGAACGACCGUCCCGGCCGUCGGCCCCCGACUCACCCUCAAGAUGAAGGGGCGCGACGUAGGAUGGAUGAACCACAAACCGGCGCAGCCUCGCGCCAAGGUAAGAUUGAAAUGCACCAGCCCCUCAUCGGGCUCGGUAACAUGGAGUGUUGAUGCACGCCAUGCGGAUAGACACGACUCUCGGCAAUGGAUAUCUCGGCUCUUGCAUCGAUGAAGAGCGCAGCGAAAUGCGAUACGUGGUGCGAAUUGCAGAAUCCCGCGAACCAUCGAGUCUUUGAACGCAAGUUGCGCCCGAGGCCUGCCGGCCAAGGGCACGUCCGCUUGGGCGUCAAGCGUUGCGUCGCUCCGUGCCAGCUGUCCCGCCACUGGGCGUGUCGGACGAGGCUCGGAUGUGUAGAGUGGCCCGUCGUGCCUGUCGGUGCGGCGGGUUGAAGAGGGGGCUUCGUCUCGCUUGCCGCGAACAACAAGGGGUGGGUGUAAGCUCUAAGCGCAGCCUGCGUUGUCUCGUGCCGGCCCGAGAGAUGGAUUGUGCCUUUGAUGUGAUCCCCGACCACGCGUCGAUUGGCAUGCGGCGGCUUGGAAUGCGACCCCAGGAUGGGCGAGGCCACCCGCUGAGUUUAAGCAUAUCAAUA
rnacentral:rRNA from 1 species